rnacentral:rRNA from 1 species
UAGGAAUAUGCCUUAAAGUGGGGGACAACCUGGGGAAACUCAGGCUAAUACCGCAUAAUCUCUUUGGAGAAAAGCUGGGGACCUUCGGGCCUGGCGCUUUAAGAUUAGCCUGCGUCCGAUUAGCUAGUUGGUAGGGUAAAGGCCUACCAAGGCGACGAUCGGUAGCUGGUCUGAGAGGAUGACCAGCCACACUGGAACUGAGACACGGCCCAGACUCCUACGGGAGGCAG